UCGCUCCUACUGAUUGAGUGAUCCGGUAAAUAAUUUGGAUUACAGCAGCGUUCAUGUCUUGACUGUUGCUGUGCGAAGCUUGGUGAACCUUAUCACUUAGAGGAAGGGG
rnacentral:rRNA from 1 species